rnacentral:misc_RNA from 1 species
CUUAGAUAUAAUAAUUUGUAUAAUAUAGUAGAAUUUGUUAGUUGUAGUUAAGGAAAUACCUGUGCUCCCUCGUUUAAGUUAGGUCGUAAGUCCUGUUAAAAAAUUGGUUUGUAAGAUACAACUUGUUAAAAUGAAAUAAAAGAUACAUCUGUUCCCCACCCUCACUAUCCCCGAGUUCAUAGUAUAUAAGCAUAAUGAUUAAGAGCCUUAAGCCAGUGUGAAUGAAGAAGGAUGAAAGAAAGAUAUAGUAUGCUGAAUGAAAGUGCGGAAGAAUUAAUGCGAGAACUGGUAUGAAUGAGUUUCGAGAAUACAGACUCGCAUAACGUGCGGGGGCAUAGCAAUAGAUCGGAAG